UCUAAGUCUUUGCAUUGGUGUUGUUGUGAGAGUUCAUUAUACCUUAUCAUUUAGAGGAAGGAGAAGUCGUAACAAGGUUUCCGUAGGUGAACCUGCGGAAGGAUCAUUG
rnacentral:rRNA from 1 species